CGCAGGAGUUCUGCUCAAGGCUUUGUGGCGAAACACAAAGUGGGUCCCAGAGUAAGUCACUGAGCUCCUGUUGUGUUCUGCUGAGCAACAAUGAGACUUUCCUGGACACUCUGCAUGGGCGUCCUCGUCCUGUUUGUACUCUGCACUGUGUCUGGUGCUGCCAAAGAUUCGAAGGAUGACUCUGGUCAAACCAAACUGCAAAAUGCAAAAACACCAGAGGUGGUUGACUGGAUCAAUGAAAUGCCCAUGGACACUUCAGGAUCAGGAUCUGAGGAGAUGAUAGACUGAAACUCCUCUGAAGUGAGAUCUCCCACCACUCUGCACUGUCCAUGAAGCCAGUGUGUUCCUACAAGAUGUAGAGGAGGUCAGGUCUGAGGAGCAACCCACAGAACAUUCUUUGGAUGCCAAGGAAGAGUCUAAUUUUGAAAGAUCUGUAAUCAGUGUUAUCUUUAAAUAAAGGAAACGUCUAUCAAUGAUAA